rnacentral:rRNA from 1 species
CGUAGGGAAACCGAGUCUUAACCGGGCGUUAAGUUGCAGGGUAUAGACCCGAAACCCGGUGAUCUAGCCAUGGGCAGGUUGAAGGUUGGGUAACACUAACUGGAGGACCGAACCGACUAAUGUUGAAAAAUUAGCGGAUGACCUGUGGCUGGGGGUGAAAGGCCAAUCAAACCGGGAGAUAGCUGGUUCUCCCCGAAAGCUAUUUAGGUAGCGCCUCGUGAAUUCAUCUCCGGGGGUAGAGCACUGUUUCGGCUAGGGGGCCAUCCCGGCUUACCAACCCGAUGCAAACUGCGAAUACCGGAGAAUGUUAUCACGGGAGACACACGGCGGGUGCUAACGUCCGUCGUGAAGAGGGAAACAACCCAGACCGCCAGCUAAGGUCCCAAAGUCAUGGUUAAGUGGGAAACGAUGUGGGAAGGCCCAGACAGCCAGGAUGUUGGCUUAGAAGCAGCCAUCAUUUAAAGAAAGCGUAAUAGCUCACUGGUCGAGUCGGCCUGCGCGGAAGAUGUAACGGGGCUAAACCAUGCACCGAAGCUGCGGCAGCGAC